UACGUAGGGUGCAAGCGUUGUCCGGAAUUAUUGGGCGUAAAGAGCUCGUAGGCGGUUUGUCGCGUCUGCUGUGAAAACCCGAGCUCAACCUCGGGCCUGCAGUGGGUACGGGCAGACUAGAGUGCGGUAGGGGAGAUUGGAAUUCCGUGGUGUAAGCGGUGGAAUGCGCAGAUAUCAGGAGGAACACCGGAUGGCGAAGGCAGAUCGUCUGGGCCGUAACUGACGC
rnacentral:rRNA from 1 species